CAGCCGCCGCGGUAAUACGGAGGAUGCAAGCGUUAUCCGGAUUUAUUGGGUUUAAAGGGUGCGCAGGCGGCCUUAUAAGUCAGUGGUGAAAUCUUACGGCUCAACCGUAAAACUGCCAUUGAUACUGUAGGGCUAGAGUACAGACGAGGUAGGCGGAAUGUAGCAUGUAGCGGUGAAAUGCUUAGAUAUGCUACAGAACACCGAUCGCGAAGGCAGCUUACCAGACUGUAACUGACGCUAAUGCACGAAAGCGUGGGGAGCAAACAGGAUUAGAUACCCUGGUAGUCCACGCUGUAAACGAUGAUCACUCGAUGUUGGCGAUAUACAGUCAGCGUCCAAGCGAAAGUAUUAAGUGAUCCACCUGGGGAGUACGAUCGCAAGGUUGAAACUCAAAGGAAUUGACGGGGGCCCGCACAAGCGGAGGAGCAUGUGGUUUAAUUCGAUGAUACGCGAGGAACCUUACCUAGACUUAAAUGUAGAUUGCAUAGAGUAGAAAUACUUUUUUCCUUCGGGACUAUUUACAAGGUGCUGCAUGGUUGUCGUCAGCUCGUGCCGUGAGGUGUCGGGUUAAGUCCCAUAACGAGCGCAACCCCUACCCUUAGUUGCCAGCGGAUAAAGCCGGGGACUCUAGGGGAACUGCCAGCGUAAGCUGAGAGGAAGGUGGGGAUGACGUCAAAUCAGCACGGCCCUUACGUCUAGGGCUACACACGUGCUACAAUGGCCGGUACAGAGGGCAGCCACCUGGUGACAGGGAGCGAAUCUCCAAAGCCGGUCUCAGUUCGGAUCGAAGUCUGCAACUCGACUUCGUGAAGUUGGAUUCGCUAGUAAUCGUAUAUCAGCCAUGAUACGGUGAAUACGUUCCCGGGCCUUGUACACACCGCCCGUCAAACAAUGGAAGCUGGGGGUACCUGAAGACUGUGACCGUAAAAGGAGCGGCCUAGGGUAAAACUAGUAACUGGUGUUAAGUCGUAACAAGGUACCCGUA
rnacentral:rRNA from 1 species